UAUGAUAUACAACACGACUGAAGUAUCUAGGGUCAUUUAUUAGACUCAACGCAACCAAGUUCUUCUCCUAUGCUACUUUAUAAUACAUGAUAUAAGUAAAAAAUCGUAAAAUUUAUUUUAUUUAUUUAUUAAGCAUAUUAAGGCAUUCAGAAAUAAAGAUAAGCAGGUAACACUUACAAACAAAAGUUUAAAUUAACUGCAUUUAGAAUCUACUAUUACAUGAUAAUGCUUACAUGAUAUUGCAAACAUAUACCCGUCAGAAGGAUGAGGUAUACCCACUAAAAAUACCCUGGUGCCCCGUCACUCUCUAUAAGUGCUAACUUUGAGAUUCCGGACAAAGAUCUCCCACCUACACGGCGACAGUUGGGACGAGAGCAACUGGAAGUACACAGCUUUUCCGUACACACACUCACCGUCAGCAGACGGUGGCAAUCAUACUGUCACCUUCCCUGGAGCGAAUUAAAAUGCACCCGCACUUGGUUCGUAGUUGCGCUAUCGUACUGCAGCUUCUUGUGGCACCUUGUCUUCUCAGAUAGAUGUGCUUCAUUACCACCCAACUUUUGUUACCGUCCACAUAGCUUUGACUAUGCUAUCCCGCAAGAAUAUGGUGUGUCGUAUGCUCCUAGCCACCGCAAUACAGGUAGGGCUCGAAGGAUCCGUGCCCAGUCAUGGUGCGAUCGCUAGAGCAACCUUAAACUUCAGCACAACUUAGCCACGGCCCACGGCGAGGUGGUUUAUCAACUAUUAGACUACAGCACAAUCUAGCGAGUCUCACGUCAAACGGCCUCUCUGUCCUCCUAUGGCGGAGCUUUCACCUCGUUCUUCACGCUGCGUUAAAAACGACGAUGUAGCCCUGUAGACUUUCUGGACCUGUUAAGGUCUUAGAAGAUGGGCAGCGUUACCCUUUCCUUUGAGGGUGAUGCCUUAGAUGGGACAGAAUCAUGCUUUUGAGGGUACCAGUAUAAUGUAGAUAGCGUAUCUCCAUAGCCUUCCGACAUGAGAGUUUUCGCACCUCCAAAUUAGGGAAGCAGCCAUGAAAAAGCAAGCUGUCUUCCAUUCGCACGGCGACGGAUUGGAAAAAGUGCGAGCUGCCACUGGUUAUACAAAGGUCACCGUAUUUACGCUCACUACUUGGCGCCACUGGUGAUUAACAGGAUAACUCUUAGAUAUUUUAUCUGGGCCUUAGUUUUGACAGUGGUGUGGGCGUCAAGUGAAGGUGUCAGGGAUGCCUUUAAAUAUAUGUGGUCCCUGGCCUAGGGCGACCAUAAUGCCGUCUGUGGCGACCAGGCAAGCCGCCUCGCUGUGAAAGUUAUUUAUUUAUUUAUGAGGAUAUUCUUGUAAUGAUGAAACUAUCUGCAUGACAGAUACCUUGAAAUAUCCAUGCCUUGAAAAGGGUUCCAUUUAGUACCCAGUUGUAUUCAAUGUUCCACAAGAUCGAACUCAAAAAAGAGCCAUGUGGAUCUUCGUACUCGAUGCCAUGCUGUCAAACUUGGCCGGCACUAUUGAUAAAGAAAAUGUACCGGUUCUACAAGUAUUCGUCAGUCAAAAGACCCCUUAGAUAAGGAAGAAUCUUAAGGUAUUGAGUGCCUCCAAAAUGCAACUAUCUGGGAAACGAGGCGGGACGCUGUUAUGCCUCGUCGAGCAGGACUAUGGGCCUAGAGUGAGAGUGUAAGAUGUGGUGUCAAAGUAAGACUGAUGUCAAGAUGUCAGACAACUACGCCGUAUCAACCGCUGAUGGGAUUUAUUGAAAGACGUGUAUUAGCUGCCGAAUGCUUUAUUGCACUGAUUAUAAAAAUGUUAGAACUACCAAAGUCACAAAUGUAGGUCAGGCGUAGCUGGCCAAAGUGCAUGAAUAAAAUGCAAGUUAACAAUAAGUUAAUUAGCAAUAAAAAUGUGCGAGUUGACUCGUACAGAGAGUUACUGUCAAUAGUAGCUGAACUUUGUUCCCGUGUACAACUACUUAUGUGGCAGUUAAUAAUUUAAACAAAUAUAUUACUCCGACGUAAAAGUUAGUAAGUACCACUUACGUAAUUUGUAAUUAGAAACUUUCCGUUGUAUAAGUGAGUAAAUGACAAAUAAUACACUUA